UGCUAAAACAUCUAGUGGACUGUCACUUA
rnacentral:piRNA from 1 species